AGUCUAUUCAGAGGAAUUUGUUUUAUAAUCGAUAAUCCGCGAUGGACCUUACUUAAGUUUGUUAUAAUUCAGUUUAUAUACCGUCGUUAUUAGAAUAUUUUAAAAAAAUGUUAAUUUUCAUAAUUUUUAAAAAAAAAAUAUAUCAGAUCAAGGUGUAGCUAAUAUUUAAGUAAAAAUGAGUUACAAUAAAUUUAUUUAUAUGGAUAUAAAUUUGAAAUAUUUAUUGAAAGUGGAUUUGAUAGUAAAAUUAUAUAGAUUAUUAAUUUGAUUUUUAGCUCUAAAAUAUGUACAUAUCGCCCGUCACUCUUAUUAUUAAGGUAAGAUAAGUCGUAACAUAGUAGGUGUACUGGAAAGUGUCUCUAGAAUGCAAUUUAAAGCUUAUUUAGUAAAGUAUUUCAUUUACAUUGAAAAGGAUUUUGUGCAAAUCAAUAUAUAUUGAUUUUAAAUUAAAUUUUAUUUAUUAAUUAAUUAAUUUUUUAAAAUUUAUUAUAUUAAAAAUAAUUAUAAAAUUUAUUGUUUUAGUAUUUUAUAAAAAAAAAAUAAUUUUAAUUAUAGUUUAUUAGUAUUGUGGAAGAAUAUUGAAAUAAUUUGAAAAAUUAUUAUAUUAAAAGUAAAUUUA
rnacentral:rRNA from 1 species